UACGUAAGGGGCGAGCGUUGUUCGGAAUUACUGGGCGUAAAGAGCGCGUAGGCGGCUUACCAAGUUGGGGGUGAAAGCUCGGAGCUCAACUCCGGAACUGCCUUUGAAACUGGUAGGCUCGAGUGCGGAAGAGGGGCGUGGAAUUCCCAGUGUAGAGGUGAAAUUCGUAGAUAUUGGGAAGAACACCGGUGGCGAAGGCGGCGCCCUGGUCCGGUACUGACGCUGAUGCGCGAAAGCGUGGGGAGCAAACAGG
rnacentral:rRNA from 1 species